ACUCUGGGACACUGGCCAGCGGAGAACUCUUUUGAGGACUAUGGGGGUGGCUCUUCCUUCUCCCCACGAGGCCCCCGGGAAGAGUGUUUACCUGUGCCGUGAAAAAGGCUGGAGUGAGGGAUCCUGAGGGGAGGGCUGGGCUGUUGAGGGCGAUGGAGCCGAUGUCGGUGCCGGAGAGCAACAGCUGAGGGGGGCUGUCCUCACACGGCUCCUCCAGCUUCUCCGUCUUGAUGGCCUUGAAGGCCUCAGGAGGGUUCUGCAGGGAGUUGAUGGUGAAGGAGGAGUACAGGCCGGAGUGGAUGUAUUCAUUUCGGCUUGUGCUUUUGAGGGCGGACAAGCCAUGCUUGUGGACCUCUCGGCCUUCGGGGGACACCUUACAGUCGCUGUCCUGCAGCAGGAGGCUCUCCCGGCUGAUCUCCACCGCGUGAGGAUCCAUUUUUAGGAUAUCCGGGAAAGAGACGAACUUGUACACAAACUUCUGCCCAAUCACUUUCUUGAUGAUGUUCUGUGAAUACAAAAGCGGACAUUUAAAAUGGGUGAGCCGGAGACAAGGAAUGAUGAAAUGUUGGCAGCCGAAGCCCCCAAAAUAUUCCUGAUGUCCACAGGGUGGUUAAGAGGACAUCAGAGACUCUUAACGUCAGAGACUGAAGGCCCCAUUUGCACUUUGGUCCUGCUGCCCAGGAAUGAUGUACUCUCCAGCCUUUGGCCACUUUCUCAUCCGUAUUAUUGUAACAAUUUUGUAAUAGCAAAAGCUACCCGCUGA